GACGAACGCUGGCGGCGUGCCUAAUACAUGCAAGUAGAACGCUGAAGAGAGGAGCUUGCUCUUCUUGGAUGAGUUGCGAACGGGUGAGUAACGCGUAGGUAACCUGCCUGGUAGCGGGGGAUAACUAUUGGAAACGAUAGCUAAUACCGCAUAAAAUGGAUUAUCGCAUGAUAAUCCAUUGAAAGGUGCAAAUGCAUCACUACCAGAUGGACCUGCGUUGUAUUAGCUAGUUGGUGAGGUAACGGCUCACCAAGGCAACGAUACAUAGCCGACCUGAGAGGGUGAUCGGCCACACUGGGACUGAGACACGGCCCAGACUCCUACGGGAGGCAGCAGUAGGGAAUCUUCGGCAAUGGACGGAAGUCUGACCGAGCAACGCCGCGUGAGUGAAGAAGGUUUUCGGAUCGUAAAGCUCUGUUGUAAGAGAAGAAACGAGUGUGAGAGUGGAAAG
rnacentral:rRNA from 1 species